rnacentral:lncRNA from 1 species
GUAAUCUGCUCACAUAUUUUUUUUUUUAAUUUCCUUAUAGUGAGAGCAUCUGCAACCCUCUCUUCCAGCGAGGUUGAAAUACACAGGGCAUUGUUCUUCAGGACCUUCACUGUACCAGGCAAAGGAACACGAGAACUUUGUGCAUGUCACUGACCUCCCCCAUCCUUGGUAACCAAAACCAAAACCAAUGAUGAUGUGCUGCAGUUUUGAGGACAGACUUAGCAUUGGACAAGGGGCACGUGGCCCCUAAUGGAAGGGUGGAGGCUCCACCAGGGAUAGGCAGUGGUGGUGGGGGUGGGGGGAGAAGUGGCUGGGUUCUGGGUUUCAUCUGAAGAAUUUCCUCUUGGAUAGAUAUAGCGGGUGUGAGAUACCCAAAGGGACAUAAGAGAGUAUGUUCAUUUCCCAUGGCUGAGGUAACAAAGUGCCUUAAAUUGCGUGGCUCAUUACAGAAGUGUAUUCUCUGACAGCUCAGGUGGCUGGAAAUCUGAGAUCCAGGUGUCAGCGAGGACAGUUCCCUCUGGAAGGCCACAUGUUCUGGCCUCUCUGGCUCCUGGGGGUUCUGCCAGUGCUUAGCAUCCCUUGGCUUGUAGAUGCACCACUCCAAUCUCUGUUUCCAUGGUUACCCUGCAACCUUAGAGUUGGUCUCUGUGGUUACAUAGCUCUUCUCCCUACCCAUGAAUCUGGAUCUGAACACAUUUCUCUCUUAAGGACUCUGGUCAUUGGAGAAGGGCCCACCCCAGUCUGGAAUGAACUCAACCUAACUUGGCUAAGGCCAUUUUUCCAUACAAGGUCAUAUAUACUGGUUCCAGGUGGACAUGGAUUUGGCAGGGACACUGUUCAAAGCAGUCCAUGUGUGUUUGUCUACAUUUUCAUGGAAAUGCAUUUUAAUCAUAUCAGGCUUGAGAACUCUCCCAAGAUGCCCCAUCUUGUCCAGGGGGUUGAGAGGGGACUCUACUGAGCCUUUGCAAGGCUCCUAAAAGAAAGAUUUUAUUUAUUUAUUUAUUUAUUUUUGUAUCAGGGAUUGAACCCAGCAGUGCUUAGCCACGGAGCCACAUCCCUAGCCCCUUUUUAUUUUUUAUUUAUUUUUAUUUUGAGACAGGUUCUCACUAAGUUGAUUAGGGCCUGGCUAAGUUGCUGAGGCUGGCUUUGAACUUGCAAUCCUCCUGCCUCAGCCUCCCAAACCAUUGGGAUUACGGAGGUGUGCCAACACACCUGGCGGAAAAUAUGAUUUUUAUUAGUUUGGGCAAAAUUGUAUCAUUUGGGGCUGGACAUGGAGCUCAGUGGUUACCAUGUUCAUGUCCUGGGUGCCACAUCCAGCACUGAAGAAAAAAUAAAAAUCAAUGGAUACGCUCUUGAUGGAACUUGGUCGUGGGAACUCAGUCUCUCUCAUCAGAGAUAAAUCAGGUCCCUCCUGGGACUGCAGGGUGAUAGGAAUAGAUGCUCCAGUCCCUCCUGUCCUCCAGGCCUGUCAUCCGGGGGUGUGGUGUGGGAGGAGAGCUGAUAUAGGAUUGUAAUUCUGCUAAUGAG